UACGAAGGGGGCUAGCGUUGCUCGGAAUUACUGGGCGUAAAGGGCGCGUAGGCGGACAGUUUAGUCAGAGGUGAAAGCCCAGGGCUCAACCUUGGAACUGCCUUUGAUACUGAUUGUCUUGAGUUCGGGAGAGGUGAGUGGAAUGCCGAGUGUAGAGGUGAAAUUCGUAGAUAUUCGCAAGAACACCAGUGGCGAAGGCGGCUCACUGGCCCGGUACUGACGCUGAGGUGCGAAAGCGUGGGGAGCAAACAGG
rnacentral:rRNA from 1 species